ACCUAGUACCCUCCCCUGGACUGGUAUUACAGCUGAGACAGACAGGGGGCCCUUUCUACCUAGUACCCUCCCCUGGACUGGUAUUACAGCUGAGACAGACAGGGGGCCCUUUCUACCUAGUACCCUCCCCUGGACUGGUAUUACAGACAGGGGGCCCUUUCUACCUAGUACCCUCCCUGGACUGGUAUUACAGCUGAGACAGACAGGGGGCCCUUUCUACCUAGUACCCUCCCCUGGACUGGUAUUACAGCUGAGACAGACAGGGGGCCCUUUCUACCUAGUACCCUCCCCUGGACUGGUAUUACAGACAGGGGGCCCUUUCUACCUAGUACCCUCCCCUGGACUGGUAUUACAGCUGAGACAGACAGGGGGCCCUUUCUACCUAGUACCCUCCCCUGGACUGGUAUUACAGCUGAGACAGACAGGGGGCCCUUUCUACCUAGUACCCUCCCCUGGACUGGUAUUACAGCUGAGACAGACAGGGGGCCCUUUCUACCUAGUACCCUCCCCUGGACUGGUAUUACAGCUGAGACAGACAGGGGGCCCUUUCUACUCAGGCACAGGGAGGGGCAGCUCAGAACCUUUGUGGUCCUGAGUGAUUCUCUGCAACAAAAACUAAAAUGGAUUUUAAAAAUGGAAAGUGUAACAAUGCUCCUUCUGUGUUAGCGGCUGAAAAUGUGGUUUUUGUCAGGUCUUCCUCUUCUGAUGCUAUGAUGCCCAGUUCUGUCUGUGUGUAGUCUGGUGCUGUGAGGUUACUAGGCCUCACAGACAACAGUCUGGUUACUAGGCUUCACAGACAACAGUCUGGUGCUGUGAGGUUACUAGGCCUCACAGACAACAGUCUGGUUACUAGGCUUCACAGACAACAGUCUGGUGCUGUGAGGUUACUAGGCCUCACAGACAACAGUCUGGUUACUAGGCCUCACAGACAACAGUCUGGUUACUAGGCUUCACAGACAACAGUCUGGUGCUGUGAGGUUACUAGGCCUCACAGACAACAGUCUGGUUACUAGGCUUCACAGACAACAAGUCUGGUUACUAGGCUUCACAGACAACAAGUCUGGUUACUAGGCCUCACAGACAACAGUCUGGUUACUAGGCUUCACAGACAACAAGUCUGGUUACUAGGCUUCACAGACAACAGUCUGGUGCUGUGAGGUUACUAGGCUUCACAGACAACAGUCUGGUUACUAGGCUUCACAGAACAGUCUGGUUACUAGGCUUCACAGACAACAGUCUGGUUACUAGGCUUCACAGACAACAGUCUGGUUACUAGGCUUCACAGACAACAGUCUGGUUACUAGGCUUCACAGAACAGUCUGGUUACUAGGCUUCACAGAACAGUCUGGUUACUAGGCUUCACAGACAACAGUCUGGUUACUAGGCUUCACAGACAACAGUCUGGUUACUAGGCUUCACAGACAACAGUCUGGUUACUAGACUUCACAGACAACAGUCUGGUUACUAGACUUCACAGACAACAGUCUGGUUACUAGGCUUCACAGACAACAGUCUGGUUACUAGGCUUCACAGACAACAGUCUGGUUACUAGACUUCACAGACAACAGUCUGGUUACUAGGCUUCACAGACAACACUAUGACACUCCUUCCUGUCUGAAAGCGUCCCCAUGUUCAGAAUUAUAUUUUGUAUUAUUCUCACUCUAGUCUUUAAUUUACACAUGUAAUAUUUCUUGGGAGCUGCUUGUGUCUGGAUGGUGUGCUAACCUGUUUUGACAUUAUAAUAAUGUAAUAUAAUUUAUAUUGUUUUGUAUUAUCCUAACAUAUUAUUGUGGGUCUUUUUAUUCUGUAAUUUCUUCCUGGGGGGUUUUUUAUAGGAUCGGGGGGGUAUAUUAACACCAGUCUAAACCAGCUUCACCUGGAGCUGCUAUGGGACAAUAAAAUGGAUCACUUUCAGCGCUGA